UUUUUUUUUUUUUUUUUAGCAAUAUAGGCACGGAGGCCCACUUACAUUAUUCAUAUGUUUGCUUUUACCUUUUCCCACAUAGAUUCGGCAUUUAUCCAGUGGUUCCAGAGAAGAAUAAGCUUAUUUUUUGAGCUAACCUCUUCACAUUGCUGAUAGUCUGGCAAACCAGAUUAAAACACUGCCAAUUAAGAACACUUUGGGAGUUCCCAUUGUAGCACAGCAGAAACGAAUCCUACUAGUAUCCCUGAGGAUUCGGGUUUCAAUCCCUGGCCUCAUUCUGUGGGUUAAGGAUCCAGAAUUGCCGUGAGCUGUGGUGUAGGCCGGGAUCCCGGCUUGGAUCCCGGGUUGCUGUGGCUGCGGUACAGGCCUGCAGCUGUAGCUCUAAUUUGAUCCCUAGCCUGUGAACUUCCAUAUGCCACAGGUGUGGCCCUAGGGAAAAAAAAAAACACUGUCAUUGUGGGAAGGAAUCUAGGAGGUGACCUGGGGCUACUUUUGCUGAGCUAAUGCUGUCUGCCCCUGCAGUUCCAUCAUCAUCAUCCACUUUAUGCUUAUUUUUUAAUUUUUUUUCACUUUAUGCUUAUUAAUAGACAUUUAUUUAGCACCAGUCAUCUGCCUGCCAGUGCUGAUCUUGAGCAUGUUGUCUCAAGAUUGUCUGUCCAUAAUCAGCUUGUUGACUCUAUGCACACGUUCCAUUAUUGUAGUUGAUGAGGAGGUAGAUGGAAUAUUUUCUCCUUGGCUUUUAUAUUACUGACUUUACUCUUAAAAUCAGUGGGAGGCUGACUAGUGUGGUCCUCACUCUACAUUCUUUGUCAUUUGAAAUGAAAAACAGGGCUAAUAACCAUGACUUCCGUUGUUUUCAUGUGCCUACCUCAUAGGCUUCAAGAUCAGUGUAUCAUAUGUGCCAGCAAGCUAAGAGACCUUGAGUGCAGCCUUCUGACCCAGCUCCAACUUGCCGAGGACCUAGUGGGAAAACAGUCUGCUUCUACACUGUGCUAAUAGCCACUGAGCCCAAUUCACAUGCCAAAAUGGCCUUGUGCCCUAAUUCAGUCUCAAGCCCCUGCCACCUACUCAACUACUGCUGCCUCAGUCUGACCAAAAAAAAUUUUUUAAAUCAGGCAUUCUCUUAUGGCACCACGGGUUAAGGAUCUGGUGUUGUCACUGCAGCGGCUCAGGUCACUGCUGUGGUGCAGGUUCAAUCCCUGGCCCAGGAACUCCACAUCUGUGACCUACACCACAGCUCACGGCAUCGCCGGAUCCUUAACCCCACUAAGCGAGGCCAGGAAUGGUCUCUGAGGCCUCUCUCCAAAAAUUCAUUAUUUUAGUAGGGCUGGGUUUGAACUGAUGCAUCUACACCUGGCAGCUGUCUCCUGAGUUAUAAAACAUGGGCAUCAGAGAGGGCAGUAGCAGAUUUAGAGUGCGGUGUGCCAGGGUGGCAAAGUCAUUUGAAUAAGAAGCCAGAGCAGCCAAGACUGGAGUUAAGAACAUUGGUCUCAUUAGCACUGUGUGUCAACCAGCAGAGGUAAUGAAACGGAAUGUGCGUGUAGCAUCUCUGUCCUCUGUUCCAGAAUCUCUGCUUGGUGCUGGAAUUACAAAGAUGCAUGAGAAACUACCUUUGUCUUUGUGACAAUUGUAGUCUAGUAGGGGGAAGGACAUGUAAAUAGGUCGUUUCUAUACGAAGGUACCAUGAGAACAGCCAUUAAACUUUCAAAUUAUAAAGCCUAAAAGAAAUAAGAGUCUUUUGGGGGGUACUUAUUAUGUGCUAGGCGCUGUGCUGGGCUUGUUUCAUAUGUCAUCUUUUUUAAUCUUGGAAAUGUUAAGAAGUAGACACUAUUAUUCUUUUUUUUUUCCCUAAGGAAGCUAAGGUUUAAAUAGUGCCAUCCCAGGGAGUUCCCGUCGUGGCGCAGUGGUUAACGAAUCCAACUAGGAACCAUGAGGUUGCAGGUUGGGUCCCUGGCCUUGCUCAGUGGGUUAAGGAUCCGGCGUUGCCGUGAGCUGUGGUGUAGGUUGCAGACGCGGCUCCGAUCCUGCGUUGCUGUGGCUCUGGCGUAGGCCAGUGGCUACAGCUCCAAUUCGACCCCUAGCCUGGGAACCUCCAUAUGCCGCGGGAGCAGCCCAAGAAAUGGCAAAAAAAACAAAAAAAA
ensembl:lncRNA